ACGAUACAUAAAUUUUCUCUACCAUUUGAUGUUUACGUUGACUUGAAAAUUUUCUUAUCAUCACAUGAAACUUCAUUCCUUGAUAGGAUUUUUAUUUUAAGUUAAAGCUUUGAAUUGAUUGAUUGUCUUUGUGUUAUAUAGAUACCCACUAUUCUUACGUUUGAUGUGCAUAAUUAGUGUUGUCGCUGCUUCACUUAACACAAUGAGACAAGCAUUUUAUUGGAUUCCUUUUUUCAUAGAUGUGUUUAUGUUGUGUUGCAAAUAUUAAAUACUAUUUCAUUUUUCUCAUUCCCAGAUUGCCGUCCAGCGUCGUCCGUCGAGAAUUCGCGCCCACCUGGCAAUCCGAGCUAUACCAUGAAUUGCUGAUUAGCCAUGGUGUCUUAUCUGUUUGCAGCAAUGUUCAACGUUGAACUCUGGCUGUUUAUUCUGUAUCUAGUUUUCUUUAUCCUGAAUUGAUUUUACGAAUCUACGCCUUUAAAGCAAAUUAAUUUUUCAGAAGAAGGUCGAGAUGACGGGAUGAACGAACUAACUCGUACGGUAAACUUGUUUCGAAUUCAAUAUCAAUGGACCUUUACGGAACACAAAUUCAAGCAGUAAGUGAUUUACAAAAUAAAAAUCAGUUUUUAGCGGAAAAGAUUGAACAGCUGGCGAAAAACAUUAAAGAACUAAAUGAAGCAAAACCCAAACCGAUCAACUCACCUAUGAACGCAGUAAAUACAGCACAGAUUUUUUAUGUUAUGCGUUCGUUACUACCGAUUUUAAGUGGCGCAAAAAAACAGAAAACAAACGACAAAAUUCCAACACGUAUGAAGAACAUAACGAAAAAUAAACCGUGCGUCUUAAGCCCAAAAUGUCACAUGCCAAAUAAUGUUUUGUUGUUGCUCUUGUCAUUAAAAAAGUUUUUCAGGCAUUAACUAACGCUUUCAUUUGUUUUCUCCUCAAAUCAAACAUACCAUAUUUCCGAUACAAACGAAAUCGCAAAAUUUUGACCCUGAAUUUUUUCUAAAAUUUGUUCAAAAUACAAAUAAAAAAGCUUAAUUUUAAUUCUACACUUAAUUCUUUAUCUGUUCAACUUCAGUUUUUAAUCAAA